UAUCUCUUUUGUUCCAACUUCCAAUGAUGGAGAAACAUCGCCACUCUUCCCAACUCUUUCGACUACUCUAAAGUGUUUUUUAUGUCAAUAUUUUUAUCCAGAUUGCAAAAACGAACAAUCACAGAAUGAAGGAUGAAUCACCGUUUGUAAUGACUACGUAGAAUUUUUCAUCCUUUGUUAAUAUGUAAAUAGUACUCUCAUGGAUAUAAAGAUUGUGUAGAGUGUGUUACCUUUGUCAAUAUAUAAAAAAUAGAGUAUGCAAAUAGUAUUCUUAUGUAUGUAAAAACUGUGCAACUUUUUAA